rnacentral:rRNA from 1 species
CGUUUGAGCAAUGGAGGGACGCAGAAGGAUAGAAGAAGCGUGCGAUUGGUUGUGCACGUCCAAGCAGUUAGGCUGAUAAGUAGGCAAAUCCGCUUAUCGCGUAUGCUGAGCUGUGAUGGGGAAGCUCCUUAUGGAGCGAAGUCUUUGAUUCCCCGCUGCCAAGAAAAGCUUCUAGCGAGAUAAAAGGUGCCUGUACCGCAAAC